AUGCAAGUCGAACGCACUCUCGUUUAGAUUGAAGGAGCUUGCUCCUGAUUGAUAAACAUUUGAGUGAGUGGCGGACGGGUGAGUAACACGUGGGUAACCUGCCCUAAAGUGGGGGAUAACAUUUGGAAACAGAUGCUAAUACCGCAUAAAACCUAACACCGCAUGGUGUAGGGUUGAAAGAUGGUUUCGGCUAUCACUUUAGGAUGGACCCGCGGUGCAUUAGUUAGUUGGUGAGGUAAAGGCUCACCAAGACCGUGAUGCAUAGCCGACCUGAGAGGGUAAUCGGCCACACUGGGACUGAGACACGGCCCAGACUCCUACGGGAGGCAGCAGUAGGGAAUCUUCCACAAUGGACGAAAGUCUGAUGGAGCAACGCCGCGUGAGUGAAGAAGGUUUUCGGAUCGUAAAACUCUGUUGUUGGAGAAGAAUGUAUCUGAUAGUAACUGAUCAGGUAGUGACGGUAUCCAACCAGAAAGCCACGGCUAACUACGUGCCAGCAGCCGCGGUAAUACGUAGGUGGCAAGCGUUGUCCGGAUUUAUUGGGCGUAAAGCGAGCGCAGGCGGUUUCUUAAGUCUGAUGUGAAAGCCUUCGGCUCAACCGAAGAAGUGCAUCGGAAACUGGGAAACUUGAGUGCAGAAGAGGACAGUGGAACUCCAUGUGUAGCGGUGAAAUGCGUAGAUAUAUGGAAGAACACCAGUGGCGAAGGCGGCUGUCUGGUCUGUAACUGACGCUGAGGCUCGAAAGCAUGGGUAGCAAACAGGAUUAGAUACCCUGGUAGUCCAUGCCGUAAACGAUGAGUGCUAGGUGUUGGAGGGUUUCCGCCCUUCAGUGCCGCAGCUAACGCAUUAAGCACUCCGCCUGGGGAGUACGACCGCAAGGUUGAAACUCAAAGGAAUUGACGGGGGCCCGCACAAGCGGUGGAGCAUGUGGUUUAAUUCGAAGCAACGCGAAGAACCUUACCAGGUCUUGACAUCCUUUGACCACUCUAGAGAUAGAGCUUUCCCUUCGGGGACAAAGUGACAGGUGGUGCAUGGUUGUCGUCAGCUCGUGUCGUGAGAUGUUGGGUUAAGUCCCGCAACGAGCGCAACCCUUAUUACUAGUUGCCAGCAUUUAGUUGGGCACUCUAGUGAGACUGCCGGUGACAAACCGGAGGAAGGUGGGGACGACGUCAAAUCAUCAUGCCCCUUAUGACCUGGGCUACACACGUGCUACAAUGGAUGGUACAACGAGUUGCGAGACCGCGAGGUUUAGCUAAUCUCUUAAAACCAUUCUCAGUUCGGAUUGUAGGCUGCAACUCGCCUACAUGAAGCCGGAAUCGCUAGUAAUCGCGGAUCAGCAUGCCGCGGUGAAUACGUUCCCGGGC
rnacentral:rRNA from 2 species